UACGUAGGGACCAAGCGUUGUUCGGAUUUACUGGGCGUAAAGGGUGCGUAGGCGGGUUUUUAAGUCAGGGGUGAAAUCCUGGAGCUCAACUCCAGAACUGCCUUUGAUACUGAAGAUCUUGAGUCCGGGAGAGGUGAGUGGAACUGCGAGUGUAGAGGUGAAAUUCGUAGAUAUUCGCAAGAACACCAGUGGCGAAGGCGGCUCACUGGCCCGGUACUGACGCUGAGGCACGAAAGCGUGGGGAGCAAACAGG
rnacentral:rRNA from 1 species